UAUUGCACAAUGGGCGCAAGCCUGAUGCAGCAACGCCGCGUGAGGGACGAAGGCCUUCGGGUUGUAAACCUCUUUUAGUAGGGAAGAAGCGACUGGGUUUUCCUGGGAGUGACGGUACCUGCAGAAAAAGCACCGGCUAACUACGUGCCAGCAGCCGCGGUAAUACGUAGGGUGCAAGCGUUGUCCGGAAUUAUUGGGCGUAAAGAGCUCGUAGGCGGUUUGUCGCGUCUGCUGUGAAAACCCGAGGCUCAACCUCGGGCCUGCAGUGGGUACGGGCAGACUAGAGUGCGGUAGGGGAGAUUGGAAUUCCUGGUGUAGCGGUGGAAUGCGCAGAUAUCAGGAGGAACACCAAUGGCGAAGGCAGAUCUCUGGGCCGUAACUGACGCUGAGGAGCGAAAGCAUGGGGAGCGAACAGGAUUAGAUACCCUGGUAGUCCAUGCCGUAAACGUUGGGAACUAGAUGUGGGGACCAUUCCACGGUCUCCGUGUCGCAGCUAACGCAUUAAGUUCCCCGCCUGGGGAGUACGGCCGCAAGGCUAAAACUCAAAGGAAUUGACGGGGGCCCGCACAAGCGGCGGAGCAUGCGGAUUAAUUCGAUGCAACGCGAAGAACCUUACCAAGGCUUGACAUAUACCGGAAACGGCUGGAAACAGUCGCCCCGCAAGGUCGGUAUACAGGUGGUGCAUGGUUGUCGUCAGCUCGUGUCGUGAGAUGUUGGGUUAAGUCCCGCAACGAGCGCAACCCUCGUCCUAUGUUGCCAGCACGUAAUGGUGGGAACUCAUGUGAUACUGCCGGGGUCAACUCGGAGGAAGGUGGGGAUGACGUCAAAUCAUCAUGCCCCUUAUGUCUUGGGCUUCACGCAUGCUACAAUGGCCGGUACAAAGGGCUGCGAUACCGCAAGGUGGAGCGAAUCCCAAAAAGCCGGUCUCAGUUCGGAUUGAGGUCUGCAACUCGACCUCAUGAAGUCGGAGUCGCUAGUAAUCGCAGAUCAGCAACGCUGCGGUGAGUACGUUCCCGGGCCUUGUACACA
rnacentral:rRNA from 1 species